rnacentral:lncRNA from 10 species
CUGGGACACCUGGGACUCUCUCACCUGGGUCUUUCAUCCUGGGCUUCUUCCUCUCAUGGUGGCCACAGGUGUUCCGAGGGGAUGAGGUUGGACACUACAAGGCCUGUGAAGGUGUAGGCUCUGAGGCUACAUAACUUCACUUCCACUGCAUUCUCUUGGUCAAAGCAGCAGACAAGGCUGCUCGGACACAAAGAGUGGAGAGACGCCUUCGUUGCUCUUGUCCCAUCUGUGUCCAGUUCAUUCCUACGAAGACAGCCACUCUCUAGGAGAGCCCCGACCAGGAAAGAAGUUAGUUUCAGGUGCAUCCGACUGGGGGAGACACAGAGGAGGCCUCUCAACAAAACAGGUGAGUUAACAGAAGCAGAGCAUUCCACAGCCCAGAGAAGAGGGAGGCGCGCCUCUCAGGACGGAUAGGAAGUGGGGAGCCAUCUGGG